rnacentral:rRNA from 1 species
UUCGCCCUUUUCCGGUUGAUCCUGCCGGACCUUACUGCUAUCGGGAUGAGAUUAAGCCAUGCAAGUUGUGCGCUCUUAAGCUAUGUUGAGAGCGCGGCGAACUGCUUCGUAACACGUAGUUAACCUAACCUCGAGAUGGGGAUAACCCCGGGAAACUGGGAUUAAUACCCGAUAGAUGAUUAUGCCUGGAAUGGCUUAUCAUCGAAAGAGUCUGGAAACAUGCUUCCAGCGUCGCUCGAGGAUGGGACUGCGUCCGAUCAGGUUGUUGGCGGGGUAACGGCCCACCAAGCCUAUAACCGGUACGGGCCCUGAGAGGGGGAGCCCGGAGAUGGAAACUGAGAAAAGGUUCCAGGCCCUACGGGGUGCAGCAGGCGCGAAACCUCCACAAUGCGCGAAAGCGUGAUGGGGUUAUCCCGAGUGCCGUCCGAUGAGGAUGGCUUUUCACCGGUGUAAGACUCCGAUGGAAUAAAGGGGGGGCAAGACUGGUGUCAGCCGCCGCGGUAAUACCAGCCCCCUGAGUGGUAAGGACGAUUAUUUGGCCUAAAGCGUCCGUAGCCGGCUUAUCAAGUCUUUUGUUAAAUCCAACGAUUCAAUCGUUGGGCUGCAAAAGAUACUGUUAUGCUAGAGGACGGGAGAGGUCGACGGUAGUCCAGGGGUAGGGGUGAAAUCCUAUAAUCCUUGGAGGACCACCAGUGGCGAAGGCGGUCGACUAGAAAGUGCCUGACGGUGAGGGACGAAAGCU